rnacentral:rRNA from 1 species
CUGAAAGAUGAUCAGGUUGAUAGGUCUGAGGUGGAAGUGUGGCGACACAUGGAGCUGACAGAUACUAAUCGAUCGAGGACUUAACCAC